ACCAACGCUAUCUGAACUCUCCUGUUGCAGUGAACGUCGCCUUCUUGGUUUUCCAGUUCAAACUAUCUCUGUGUCAGGACUGUAAAGCCCAUUUCACCCGGGAAAAAGUGGUGUUUAACCCCCAAGAGGAAAAUGGGUAGCGACGCAACCCAACAAUACCCAAAAGCCAGGGGGAGGACGGGUUAAAAAAAAGGACACAACCACAACUCCACGGCACCAGAAAACUAGAGGUACCAGGCCAAAGCCGAGAACACGACACUCUGAAGAGGAGGAUGAGUGAAAGGGGGCGAGCUGAAGACUGGACGGAUUCAGUGGGAGUCCAGCUGUUGACGCUGGCAUCCAUUUCUGAACCUCCUUACACUGUGUGAAAGAGCUGUGCCAAGAGAUUCACAAGGAGCAUGUAGAGACACCUGUUGUUGAGAAUCCAGCCUCCGUCCCAGGACAAAGGUGGUGGCGAAUUGAAUUUAAAAUCUGACGAGCAACAUCCGCUUCCAGAGUCAGUUUCUCAAAACCUGGCGAAAAAAAAUAAGACAAAAAACCAUCCACACGAA